UGCUUAACACAUGCAAGGCGAGGGAUGAAGCACCUUCGGGUGUGAAUUAGCGGCGAACGGGUGAGGAACACGUGAGAAAUCUGCCUUCAACUCUGGGAUAACUCCGGGAAACCGGGGCUAAUACCGGAUAUGAGCCUUGAUCGCAUGAUCGGGGCUGGAAAGUUUUUCGGUUGAAGAUGAUCUCGCGGCCUAUCAUCUUGUGGGUGAGGUACUGGCUCACCAAGGCGACGACGGGUAGCCGGCCUGAGAGGGCGACCGGCCACACUGGGACUGAGACACGGCCCAGACUCCUACGGGAGGCAGCAGUGGGGAAUAUUGGGCAAUGGAGGAAACUCUGACCCAGCGACGCCGCGUGAGGGAUGAAGGCCUUCGGGUUGUAAACCUCUUUCAGUAGGGAAGAAGCGAAAGUGACGGUACCUACAGAAGAAGCACCGGCUAACUAUGUGCCAGCAGCCGCGGUAAUACAUAGGGUGCAAGCGUUGUCCGGAAUUAUUGGGCGUAAAGAGCUCGUAGGUGGUUCGAUACGUCGGAUGUGAAAAUCAGGGGCUCAACCCCUGACCUGCAUUCGAUACGGUCGAGCUAGAGUGUGGUAGGGGAGACUGGAAUUCCUGGUGUAGCGGUGGAAUGCGCAGAUAUCAGGAGGAACACCGAUGGCGAAGGCAGGUCUCUGGGCCAUUACUGACACUGAGGAGCGAAAGCGUGGGGAGCGAACAGGAUUAGAUACCCUGGUAGUCCACGCCGUAAACGGUGGGCGCUAGUUGUGCGAACCUUCCACGGUUUGUGCGACGCAGCUAACGCAUUAAGCGCCCCGCCUGGGGAGUACGAUCGCAAG
rnacentral:rRNA from 1 species